GGGAGUUUUUUCAACUUGGAAUCAGGCUUAUCCCAAGCAGAAAAUGAAUACUGACAGGAGAAUUCACAGUUCCUGAUUCCAUGCUCUAGAUUGACGUAAAAUGAUCCAAAUUAGUGGAGCAGCCUUUUGAAACCUAAAAAUACUGCUGUGACUCGGCUGGGAGGAGAAGAACAUGAGCAAAGUAGAGGGCCCAGGAGUCUAAGAUGAAAACCACAAACACACUUAGAUUUCCCCUAAAUUUUGGGAUGGAUAAAAAAAGAAAACUUACUAUGCCCAAUGAGAAAAGAAGAGAAAUGCAGGACAGAAGAGAAGAAAAGGAACCUAACAGAGCUGACCCUGGACCUUUGGGCUUUCAGACGAUCUGGCCUGUUCUGAUCUGAAGAAUUAUGUCUCCCCUAUAAUUAUGAUGCAUCUUGAGCAGGCAGCCUGGGACACGACUGGAGUAUUUUGUGGUAACCAGAUGAAGAAUUAGAAGUAUUUGAAGUGUGAAAGAAAAAAUAUACAUAUAAAACAUCAGUCCCCUACUCCCCACGCCCGUGCACAAUUCAACAAUUGCUAAUAAAUUAGAAGGAGGGGCGUAUUGAUGUACUACUUGACUGUAACACAAAGAAGUGUAGUUAGCAAAAAGCUGCGGAGGGUAAUGAACAGUAUUUUAACUCGGCAGUUUAACCUCGGUGUCUGUCAGCUGUGACCUUUUACCAACCCCAAUGAGAGUCUGAUUUCUCACUUUUUGCUACUCACUGCUGGAUGAGUGAAUGUAGAAUUUGACAGCGAGAGGUUUUACAUGAAAAGGGAAGUGCAACAUUUUCACCAAGGUAUUGAGAUGGCUUGAAUCUGGAAUUCUUGGCAAGAUUAAUUUUGGAAAACCCUGUAAGUGCAGAGCACAGAAGAGCAGAUCUCAGACAGUAGGACCAAAUUUGUAAGUCUCCAAAAAAAUUCAGUAAGUGUAUGCUUGAACUUGAUUUGACUCAUUUUCUAUUUAAAGUAAUACUAUCUCAUUUGCAGGAUAUUCCAAUCAGCUUGUUUAUAAGAUCCAGCCAACGGAACAUUUUUGCACGGUAACAUGGUAGAAUCCACACAGGAGGCUACUACAAGCUGGAUUUUUUCCCCCAGCAUAUGACUUGCUUGGACCUGAGCUCUUUAAAAGCUUCAUAGGGAGCUAAUUUAACUCAAGGGUGUUAUCUACUUUGUUUUCCCUACCUCUACUGUCUUUACAGUGAUGAAUCCCUGGAAAAGUACCCGGCAGUUAGGAGGACCUGCACAUUUUAAUUAUUCUAAUUUAGGAUCAUAUGCUGCUUUCGCUGCUUUUUUUUUCCUGGAGGACCAUACUUUCUCACUUCAAGUUAUUUGUACAUUGAUAUGAGUUUUGAGCAUAUUGCUAAAUGAACCUUCUGUUAAAGAUCAAAACGUAACACUUAAAAAACAGAGUUAAAAAAGUAACUAUUGUCAAAUGAAAUAAAAGCCGGCACAAUUCUA